ensembl:snoRNA LOC120103336 small nucleolar RNA SNORA17
CCUGGCUCGGUGGGGGCAGGUGUGGUUGCUGUGCUACACAAGUGUCAAUAGGUGGCAGAAAAAGAGGCUACAUCUACACUCAAGUGUUCUGACUUGUGAACAUCUGAAUGAUCAAUAGUGUUAACA